rnacentral:rRNA from 1 species
AAAUUGAAGAGUUUGAUCAUGGCUCAGAUUGAACGCUGGCGGCAGGCCUAACACAUGCAAGUCGAACGGUAACAGGAAGCAGCUUGCUGCUUUGCUGACGAGUGGCGGACGGGUGAGUAAUGUCUGGGAAACUGCCCGAUGGAGGGGGAUAACUACUGGAAACGGUAGCUAAUACCGCAUAACGUCGCAAGACCAAAGAGGGGGACCUUCGGGCCUCUUGCCAUCGGAUGUGCCCAGAUGGGAUUAGCUAGUAGGUGGGGUAAAGGCUCACCUAGGCGACGAUCCCUAGCUGGUCUGAGAGGAUGACCAGCCACACUGGAACUGAGACACGGUCCAGACUCCUACGGGAGGCAGCAGUGGGGAAUAUUGCACAAUGGGCGCAAGCCUGAUGCAGCCAUGCCGCGUGUAUGAAGAAGGCCUUCGGGUUGUAAAGUACUUUCAGCGGGGAGGAAGGGAGUAAAGUUAAUACCUUUGCUCAUUGACGUUACCCGCAGAAGAAGCACCGGCUAACUCCGUGCCAGCAGCCGCGGUAAUACGGAGGGUGCAAGCGUUAAUCGGAAUUACUGGGCGUAAAGCGCACGCAGGCGGUUUGUUAAGUCAGAUGUGAAAUCCCCGGGCUCAACCUGGGAACUGCAUCUGAUACUGGCAAGCUUGAGUCUCGUAGAGGGGGUAGAAUUCCAGGUGUAGCGGUGAAAUGCGUAGAGAUCUGGAGGAAUACCGGUGGCGAAGGCGGCCCCCUGGACGAAGACUGACGCUCAGGUGCGAAAGCGUGGGGAGCAAACAGGAUUAGAUACCCUGGUAGUCCACGCCGUAAACGAUGUCGACUUGGAGGUUGUGCCCUUGAGGCGUGGCUUCCGGAGCUAACGCGUUAAGUCGACCGCCUGGGGAGUACGGCCGCAAGGUUAAAACUCAAAUGAAUUGACGGGGGCCCGCACAAGCGGUGGAGCAUGUGGUUUAAUUCGAUGCAACGCGAAGAACCUUACCUGGUCUUGACAUCCACGGAAGUUUUCAGAGAUGAGAAUGUGCCUUCGGGAACCGUGAGACAGGUGCUGCAUGGCUGUCGUCAGCUCGUGUUGUGAAAUGUUGGGUUAAGUCCCGCAACGAGCGCAACCCUUAUCCUUUGUUGCCAGCGGUCCGGCCGGGAACUCAAAGGAGACUGCCAGUGAUAAACUGGAGGAAGGUGGGGAUGACGUCAAGUCAUCAUGGCCCUUACGACCAGGGCUACACACGUGCUACAAUGGCGCAUACAAAGAGAAGCGACCUCGCGAGAGCAAGCGGACCUCAUAAAGUGCGUCGUAGUCCGGAUUGGAGUCUGCAACUCGACUCCAUGAAGUCGGAAUCGCUAGUAAUCGUGGAUCAGAAUGCCACGGUGAAUACGUUCCCGGGCCUUGUACACACCGCCCGUCACACCAUGGGAGUGGGUUGCAAAAGAAGUAGGUAGCUUAACCUUCGGGAGGGCGCUUACCACUUUGUGAUUCAUGACUGGGGUGAAGUCGUAACAAGGUAACCGUAGGGGAACCUGCGGUUGGAUCACCUCCUUA